GAUGAACGCUGGCGGUAUGCCUAACACAUGCAAGUCGUACGAGAGUUUUUAACUCUAGUGGCGGACGGGUGAGUAACACGUGAGAAUUUGCCUUUAGGAGGGGGAUAACAAUUGGAAACGAAUGCUAAUACCCCAUAUGCUUUUGAGUGAAAUGGAUUUUAUCCGCCUAGAGAGAAGCUCGCGGCUGAUUAGCUUGUUGGUAAGGUAAGAGCUUACCAAGGCGACGAUCAGUAUCUGGUUUGAGAGGACGAUCAGACACACUGGAACUGAGACACGGUCCAGACUCCUACGGGAGGCAGCAGUGGGGAAUUUUCCGCAAUGGGCGAAAGCCUGACGGAGCAAUACCGCGUGAGGGAAGAAUGCCUAUGGGUUGUAAACCUCUUUUUUCUAGGGAGGAAUAAAAUGACGUGUACCUGAAGAAUAAGCAUCGGCUAACUCCGUG
rnacentral:rRNA from 1 species